AUGAUGUCACUGAGAACUGCCGUAGACUACCUGCUGUACAGAUUUCCUUACAUUGACCAGAUUUGAGGGUGACACUUUCAGAAGAGUCUCCUGUUUAAGAGUGGAAACCUUUACAUACUAAAUCUCUCUAAAGGACCUUUUAUACUUGACAAAAAGAGUGAAGGUCAUGAUGCCUAAUGAUGAUGUCACUGAAAACUCUCAUGGACUACCUGAUGAACAACUUUCCUUACAUUGACAAGAUUCAAGUUUGCACUUUAAAGGCUCCACCAAGGGACGACUGACACUGAAGCAGACGCGCACGGUCAAAUAUCAGAUGGAGCUCAGUGAGUCUCACUGAAGAACUGAAGGAAGGACUGAGAGAG